GUCCAAUCUUCAUGAAAUUUGGUCAGAAGAUUGGUUUCAAUGAUAUCUUGGAUGAGUUUGAAAAUGGUUACGUUUGCUUGAAAAACAUGGCUGCCAAGGGGCGGGGCAUUUUUAACCAGGUUUUCCGAAGGAAAAAACUGGUUAUUAGAUUGGCGAAUGCGGGCGGGCUGGCUGGCUGGCGGGCUGGCUGGCUGGCGGGCUGGCUGGCGGGCUGGCGGGCUGGCGGAAUAAGCUUGUCCGGGCCAUAACUAUGUCGUUCAUUGUCAGAUUUUAAAAUCAUUUGGCACAUUUGUUCACCAUCAUUGGACGGUGUGUCGCGCGAAAUAAUUACGUCGAUAUCUCCAAGGUCAAGGUCACACUUUGAGUUCAAAGGUCAAAAA